CUUUGACGCAAUUGGUAGUGAAUUAUUACGUAUUACGUAAAGUAGCACGUGCAGAGAAAAUCCUUCAACAUUCUAGUCAGCAAGUAGACUACAGCAACAUGUCAUAGCUCCUCUCUCUCUUUGAUAUGGACCAGAUCAAGCAUUCAUUCUAUCAUUUUAAAUCCACCUUAUGAAUUAACUGGCUGAUCACACACCAAUCUCUGUUUAUAAGUCUCAGUGUUUGCAGGGUACAUAGUGUUUUGGCGUAAAGUCAAGUGUCGACAUGCCAGUGAGGAAUGAUAGAGAAGAGAUGGCUAUGAGAAGACAUCAGCCAAUUGCACACUGACUGACCCCUCUCCAGGACAACAACGCAACAGGAGCGGCCUCUACGUGAAGAGGAUGUAAGCGCUGCGACCGACUGGUGACAGCCUGGUUGAAUAGCAGCCUCAAGACUGGCGGUUUCAGUAGCAGCAUCAACUCUAUUUACUUCGCUUGUGUAUCACACACUUGGAAUUGUUUAUAUUGAAGAAGCUUGAUUAUUUCAUAUGUUGUUCUUUUCUUGUGACACAUCUGUGUAGUUGCAAAGUUAAGUAUUUUGUAUCUUUUCAUUCUGUAAUAUAACUCAUUCAUAUAACUCAUUUGAGUGUUUGUCUAGUGAACUGAGCAUGCAGGUGACACAUCUGUGUAGUUGCAAAGUUAAGUAUUUUGUAUCUUUUCAUUUUGUAAUAUAACUCAU